rnacentral:lncRNA from 1 species
GGAAGAUCAGAGGGGAAUUACCAUAAUUUAACUAAGUGUCUAAUCUUCUUAACGUUGUGCCUAUUUUGAUUUGAAGCUUUGUUUGACUAGUAUGAGCAUUGAUUCUAAUGCAAGGACAGUUCCUGCACAUACCUAGAUUACUAAAAUUUUGUUGAUCGUGUUGAAUAAAGAAUGAACCAUUGGGUUUUCUUAAAUAUUAGAUCGAACCAGAAUUGUUAUAGGAGUAUGGAGUUUGAUAUACUCGCUGGAAAAAUUAAAUGAAAGCCGAUGUUGAAUCAUUUGGCAAGUUCUAAUUUGCCACCGUGGGUUAGCAUUUCCUUGAACUGUGUAGGACAUCAAGAAAGAGUAUUCUCUUAGUUUCUCUUAGUGCUUGGGCUGAAGAAUUAUAUAUCUGUAAGAAUGGAUGAAACAUAACCAUUGCUGGUUAUUAUUAGCCAUUGGCACGAGAAUAUUUAUCUAUGAUCUCUUUCGAUGCUGUAGUCUUGUUUCAUUUAUUCAUUUUGCUAGUAAAUCCUAAUGAGGACACUUGAAAUCUUCUGGAGUAAAUUGAACUUGAUUUCCUUUUACUCCUGGUGAUAUCUUAAUGGUGUUUGGAUUGCAUUAUCACUUAAUACAGGCAUCUUGUUCUAGAUAUCAGAUUUAAAUCCGUUGUUUGAGCUUUAGAUUUACUGUGCAUGGUUAGGUGUGGGUUGGAGUUGUAUGUCAGUUACACCCCUCGUGCUGCUGAACACGCUUUACUGCAUUUUCUGGAACUUUUAUGUUAAUGUGAAUGCUAUGAUGCACCGCACAUGUCCGACACGAUACGCGACGGAUACGCCUAUGCCAACACGUGAUUUUUAAAAAAAGUAUUGACACGACACGUCUUUAACACGUUGAUUAAACUUUUUAAAAAUCCUCAUUUAUAUAGUAUAAAUUUAGUUUUAUACUUGUUAUUAACUUUUUUUUUGUGUUGAAAUCUUUUAAAUAUGAGUACCUAUUUGUUACUCACUAGUAAGUUUGAGUUAAAAAUAUAAUAUUUUUGAUUAAGAAUGAAAAAUGUUUAUGGUAGAAUGUCUGAGGAGUCUCGGUAUCGACACGUGUCGGACAUGGACACGCUACUCUAAUUGAAGUGUACGUGCUACAGAGUGUGAAUGUAUUGUGCCUUUCGCCUGUCUAAUAUUCAAACUAAGCACAAUCUGUUUCCUCAAAUCUUCUGAAUCAAUCGUGCUUGAAAGUUGCUUCGAUUUUGACAUGCUUGAAAUGACUGAUGUAUAUUGAAUUCUACUGACAUUUUAAAGUCAUAUAUUUCAACGUAUUAUGAUGCUUUUGAGAAAAACUCCAGAUUUGUAAUAAAUUUUCUCCUUGAAAUUCUGUGAAAGGUAAGUAGUCAGCGACAUCAAUUAGAGGAAUAUUAGUUAGCUUUGAUUACUGGAUUGUUUAUUGGCAUUGCUGUGGAGUAACAUGCCCUUUUUGUCAUGGCAAUAUGUUCAUUUCCAUUAUUUAUUUCGGUUUCAUUGGCGUCAAGGCUACUGUGGAGAUAUCGACGCAAAUUGGGAUAGCCUUGGAGGGAGAAAGAGCAAUUGAAAUCUUGUACUUCGGUGUAAGAAAUUGUUAAGUGUUUUCUUAUUCUGCUCAAACUGAGAUCCUCAGGGUUUUCCUGUGGACAAGAUACUCCACAUUUAUAAUGUAUUUUGGCAAGUUGAUUGUGCAAUGGGACUAUCUAUAUUCACAGUUUGUUGGAAUCAGUAUUUCAAUUAUCCUUGUCUCCUUCAGAUUGUUAUUCUCCUGCGUUAAACAAUACUAUGCCUUUCAGCAGGAGAAAAAACAAGACUGUUUAAGGCAGAGAGUAUGCUUACUCUUGAAUUAACUUUCGACUAUUGUAUAUUGUUAUGUGAUUGGGACAGAAUAAGCUUCGGGAACCAUUGACAGUCAUGUUGGAAGCACUUUUAGGGUCGAACGCGAAGCAGCACAGUUCAACCUGCCAUCACUAAAAUGGUUUCAUCACUUGUUCUUCUGGUAAAAUUCUAUAGAACUCUCUUACUUGGAAUUUCCAGAUAUUAUAUAUUAAUACCUGAACAUGCCUUCGCAUCCAGUUUCAUUGACGAUGGUUUGAGAGUAUCUGCUUAACGUUUUAUCUUGAUAGGCCAGCCAAUUUAAUUUAGGCCCUGUUUGUGGCCCUUUAAUUUCAAAAAUUGGAGUAUGGAAUAGUGAUUGAUGUUGAAAUGUGUGAUUAAAAAAGAAUGAAAAGUUUUUGAUUUAUGUGUAAGAUUAUUUUAAUGAAGAAUGUGUGGUUGAAAAUGAGUACUGUAGAAAAAAUAAUGUGGUAGAAUGUGGGAAAAUGGUUGACAAACAAGGGCUUACCUGUUUGUCAAACUAGGCAAGUAAUAAAUAAUCUGUUGAUUAUAAGAUCAUUUGUAUCCGUCUCUAUUAGUCUGUCAAGUUCUUUUGUAAGAUUGCAAUGUUUUUCACUGUUUGUUGCUGCUUAUUGUUUAUCCAGGAAAGAUGGUCAUGUCUGGUAGCCCAAUAAAACAGCAUUCCUUGAAAGCAUCACAUUUUUUUGCAAUGUAUUUGACUAUUUAGGGCUGAUUGUUAAUCCAGGAAAGGAAAACAUGUCCAGUGGCCCAGUAGAAGAGCAUUCUACGAAUACAUCAAAUUUGCUUAACACUGAAUCACAGCUGACGGAAAAUCUGCUCUCCUAUAUCAUCCAAUUCCAGCUCCUACGGGCAUGUACUCUUUCCAACUUCAGUGCAACACCAGCGAAGAAUGUUUCGGCUUUUGACGAGAACAGGGGGAUAGAUAGAGGAACACAGGAGUACUGCCACUGGUUUGAGUAGUGGUGGAUAAGUGGAUGGGAUUUGUGAUUUCAGUGAGAGGUUGGAAGUUGAAAAUCUCAAAAUUCCUUGAGAAUUAUGUACUUCGACACAAGAAAAUAUCAGAAUUUCAUGUAGGAUUAAAGGUGGUGUCCUUGAUGACAACCUUGGACUUUUG